rnacentral:lncRNA from 1 species
UAGGAAAAUAAUGAAUGUGCAUAAUCGAGUUUUGUCGAGGAAGAAUCGCACAUCCGAUUUCUCUCCCUAAUCUCAUACAACCGCUGGUGACCUAAUGCUUUCCCUAAUCUCUAUGACAUUUCUGAGUUAUGGGCAUAUGUUUAACUGAAAACCCAUAUUAAUUUAUAUAUAAAUUUGUGUUUGGGGAUUUUUUAUAAGGAUUCUGUAUUUUGUAAGGUAAAAUUUUCAGUAUGCAGUUAGGGAUUAUUAUUUCAGUGAUUUUACAUUUGUAUUCUCAAAUUUCAUCUUGAAUUUCUCUGAACCAUUUGAUAAUCUAUAGGAGUACAAAAAGAAAUCAUACAGAAAGACUCAUUUGAGGCCUAUUUGGUGUUGUUAUUGUUGAUUUUCAGUCUUGACAGAACUCUCAUCUGUCUCUUUUUUGGGUAAGUUAAAAGCUUCUUCUUAAGAGACCCGUUGCAUGUUGGCAUUCCAUACUUAUUUUUUUUUCUUUUAUGACUAUGUGCCUAAAUCAGUUGAUGCAUACUUUUAAAUUUUAUAAGGCAUAUAUAUGUUACUGUAAGGUUAUAAGAAAACAUAAUACUUCUUUGGUAAAUGCAUGUAUUUGGCCACUUAAACAAUAAUUUGAAUGUAAUAUUCUUUCUUGAUCAUCUAGAAAAGGAGUUUAGAUGGACUAUCAACUCUUAACCACACCCUAAAAGCUAAAUGCCUUCUGUUUUUAUUUAGCUGGGCAAAUGUUUCCCCUGUAGAAUCCCCCGAAACCUUUUUGAAGUUUGUUAGCUCUUUGUAUCUAAGAAAAUAUAUAUGUAGUAAGCUAACAAGUGGUCAUUUUUGCUUUUCGAAGUUUCUAUGCUUCUGCUGCUUCUUGUAAUAUUUGCAUCUUCUUGAUGAAAUCAAUGAAGCCAAUUAUUUCAUUAAAAAAGAGAGAGUUUAGAGUAGGAAAAAUAGGAGAUGACUUGGUAGAACCUUUUGGGCAAGGAUCCAAUUUAUCUAUUAUCUUAGUUUUUUAGUUUUUUUCCUCAGAUAAACAUUCAUGUCCAUUAGUACUGUUGCAACAUUUUAGUUAACUAUCCUAUAGAAGAUUCAACGUCAAAUGAUAAUUGCUAAUUUUAGAACUCUUUUCUAAUAUUUUAUAAAGAGGCUUACCCUGUGUUCCAUUGACAUUACAUGAAGCUUUGAGAAGAAUGGAACUUUGGCAAGAGACUCUUAUGUUAGAUUACAGAUUUGGGUUGUCUUAAGAAUUAAAAUGACAAUCGGAAGUGUCUUUCUCUUAUUGUUUCUGCUAAGAAUAAGAGGCUUACCUGGUGUCUUUCCCUUAUUGUGUUCAAACGAGAGCAUUUUAUA